AUUGAACGCUGGCGGCAUGCCUUACACAUGCAAGUCGAACGGCAGCACGGGUGCUUGCACCUGGUGGCGAGUGGCGAACGGGUGAGUAAUACAUCGGAACGUACCUUAUCGUGGGGGAUAACGCAGCGAAAGCUGUGCUAAUACCGCAUACGCCCUGAGGGGGAAAGCGGGGGAUCGCAAGACCUCGCGCGAUUAGAGCGGCCGAUGCCUGAUUAGCUAGUUGGUGGGGUAAAAGCCCACCAAGGCGACGACCAGUAGCUGGUCUGAGAGGACGAUCAGCCACCCUGGGACUGAGACACGGCCCAGACUCCUACGGGAGGCAGCAGUGUGGAAUUUUGGACAAUGGGGGCAACCCUGAUCCAGCAAUGCCGCGUGAGUGAAGAAGGCCUUCGGGUUGUAAAGCUCUUUUGUCAGGGAAGAAACACCGGCUCUAACACAGUCCGGGAAUGACGGUACCUGAAGAAUAAGCACCGGCUAACUACGUGCCAGCCGCCGCAGUAA
rnacentral:rRNA from 1 species